CAACAGGGAUUGCCUUAGUAACUGCGAGUGAAGCGGCAAAAGCUCAAAUUUGAAAUCUGGUACCUUCGGUGCCCGAAUUGUAAUUUGGAGGCAUAUCUUCGGAGCAGGUGCUGUCCUAAGUUCCUUGGAACAGGACGUCACAGAGGGUGAGAAUCCCGUGCCUGGAUGGCCAACCAGCUCCAUGUGAAGUGUGUCCUACGAGUCGAGUUGUUUGGGAAUGCAGCUCAAAAUGGGUGGUAAAUUUCAUCUAAAGCUAAAUAUUGGCGAGAGACCGAUAGCGCACAAGUAGAGUGAUCGAAAGAUGAAAAGCACUUUGAAAAGAGAGUUAAAAAGUACGUGAAAUUGUUGAAAGGGAAGCGCUUGCGACCAGACUCAAUCUUAGGUGAUCAGCUGGGCUUCGGUCCGGUGUCAUUGCCUUUGAUUGGGCCAGCAUCAGUUUUGACGGUGGGAUAAAAGUUGGGGGAAUGUGGCUUCCUUCGGGAAGUGUUAUAGCCUCUUUCAUAAUGCCACCAGUUGGGACUGAGGACCGCGCUUCGGCUAGGAUGCUGGCGUAAUGGUCUUAAGCGACCCGUCUUGAAACACGGACCAAGGAGUCUAACAUCUAUGCGAGUGUUCGGGUGUAAAACCCUUGCGCGUAAUGAAAGUGAACGGAGGUGUGAACCCUUUGGGUGCAACAUCGACCGGUCCUGAUGUCUUCGGAAGGAUCUGAGUAAGAGCAUAGCUGUUGGGACCCGAAAGAUGGUGAACUAUGCCUGAAUAGGGUGAAGCCAGAGGAAACUCUGGUGGAGGCUCGCAGCGGUUCUGACGUGCAAAUCGAUCGUCAAAUUUGGGUAUAGGGGCGAAAGACUAAUCGAACCAUCUAGUAGCUGGUUCCUGCCGAAGUUUCCCUCAGGA
rnacentral:rRNA from 1 species